GCUUGAAUUUGUUUUCGAUCGUCUUAUCUGUUUCCACCCCCGUAUGAGCGGCGACUAAGCUCGUCUUUCUUUGAAUUGAUCUACUUUUCAUGCAAACAAGAGUUGUGUAAUAUGUGGAGUUUGUAAAGGAAUCAUUUUCAUGUUCCUUUCCUUCUUUAGAUUUUGAUCUUAGAAGUUGGACUAGUGCAUGCCAGUGUAGCUUAAAUGGGGGAGAAGCGGAAGCAGGACGAGGCAUCUGCGGCUCCGAAGAAAGAGGAAGUCGCUCAAGAAAGGCCCAAACGCACCCUUUUUGGAUGGAAGGAUGGGGUUACAGAGAAGGAGAAAGAUUAUCGUCUUUAGGAACCGAGAGAAGGUCCUUGACACGAGCUCGCGCCGCAUCACAUAUAGAAAGGUAUCGGCACUUGAUGCUGAACGUGGUGUCCCUCGUGCCUCAUUGCAAGAAAGACAGCAAGGUGGAGUCCCAAGAGAGCGAGGGGGCUACUCUCAAUGAGUUGAUUGAGCUUAGGAACUGCUCCAGCUGCUUGUUCUUUGACGUAUGGUUCACAUUGCAUUUGGAAACUUGACUGAUUUGCUGUUUCAGCUGCUCAGCUGUUCAUCCACAAAUUGAAGGAUGAACAGCUUGGUGCUAAUGCCCUUGUUUAUGUGGUUUGAAGUGAUUGGCUCUAUAACCAAUCUAUAAUUGUAUAUCAUUCCUACUUGUCAAAUUGUAUCUACAUAUUUAAAGAGGGAAUUUUGGAUCAUAGUGGAAACUGACAGGAUUUGGGGCUCACUGUCUUUAUAUAUAUAUAUAUAUAUAUAUAUAUAUAUAUAUAUAUAUAUAAAAUAACAUUCUUACCUUAAUGGCAUUAUCAUCAUUCUUCCAUAUAGAGCCUAGUGAGAACAGUUGGUUCUGUUUCUUUAACCUACUUUGUGCACAUAUUUCUUGUUUAAUUAUUAUACGUGUUCCAUUAGGACCGAAAUAUAUUGUGGAUUAGAAUUGUUGUUUCUUUUAUGACACUUGCAAUAUCUUCUAUUUAGUUCUUUCAUCGUUCAUAUGUAUCAGUGCAGCAAGCAGAAAGAUCUUUAUCUUUGGAUGGUGAAGUGUCCAAGUGGGCCUUCUGUGAAGUUCUUGGUUAAUGCUGGUAAACAUACUCUGAUCUCUUAUAAUCCUUACUGAGCAAAUCGCUUAUCACCUCUGUACAUCUGAUUUGAUUCUAUGAUAUAUGAUUAGUUUGCUAUGGACUUCUAAAAACUUGUUGUUUCCUUCUAAAGUUUAUACAAUGGAGGAGCUGAAGCUUACUGGCAAUCAUUUGAAAAGAUCACACCCAAUUUUGACAUUUUCCUCAAAUUUUGACAAAGUACCUUGCAUUUUUUUUAGUAGUCAACUCUUGGCUUGUUGCUUUGUUGUCUUUACAUGGUGUUGGAUUUAUAAAGAAGUGACAUAAAUGACACUUGGAAAUGAUGGUAGCAAAUAUUUCUUGUAGUCAUAUAGCUUUUACAAAGAAUUUUAUGCAUGCAUGAAUGUUAAGUUUUAUGUGUUUAUUUUGGAACUUCUAUCAUUUUGAACAUUUACUCAUCUGUAUAUAAUACAAAGCUUAUACAGCUCAUUGAUAUAGUGUAGCAAAUUGAUACUGCUUGAGGUGUGUUUUUGUUCCUGUUUCAGACUAUACAUACGGUAUUUUGCCUUUUCUCUGUCGAGCUACUGUGAAGCUCUGUAGCUCUUAGACUGGGUCUCGUGCUACAUGCAGCUGAUCUUUCUUUCAUUGUCUUGAUGAUAGUGUUAAAAUUUUAAAGUUAUUAUGAAGUUUUAUAAUAAUCGGUUUGAGGCAUUUCUCUGUGAAAUCAUGAUUGUUCAGUACUUCGAGCACAUCAAAGGAUGGUGGAUCUCCACUAUGAGUUUGCUAUUACAUUGUAAUAAUUAGAUGGUUUUUAGCAGGCAAGAAGUGUCACUAGCAUGGUACAUAGUGUGUCAAAUCAUUUCGAAAUAUGGUUGAGUAGACGUAACCAAAGAUAUGAAUUAGAAUCCUCAUAUCAUAAUCUGGUAGGUUGAUUAGUCUUCUGAUAAAAAGAUCUUUCACCUUCACUGUAAUGAAGGCUAUAGCACAGUGUACAAGAGUAGGUUGCAGUCUUUUUCCUUCUGCUUGUUAUAACCUUUCUUCAAGGCAUUUACAUUUUAUUACUGGUAGUGAUUUUGUUGCCGAUAUCAUUCAUGGUCUCUUAAGGUUAGUUUGUGCUUGUUGCUAAAUUGAGUCUCUAGUUUUUGUUAUCCGGAGAAUUUUAUAAGCAUAAAUGCUUUCUUCAUUUGCAGAUAUUCAGUAUCCCAAAGGACCACUGGAAAGUAAAACCUUUCCAUGACCAUGUCUUUGUCUUUCCAAUUGUCGAUGAUCACAUUCGGUUUCGCAAUUACCAGAUUUCUGUACCUUGCAAUGAGAUAGACAAAGUCGGUCGAUCGAUUGAGGAGCUCUAGACAAAAUGACACUUGUGGAGAUCUGUGCCCUAGAGAAGAAGAAGAAGACAGCCGGAAAGUACACGAAGAAGGUCAAGGCAAAGAUGAGGAGGAAGAUGCAUGAACCCUUGAAUCCUUUAGAGCCCAAUGAGUUUGCAGAUUUAUGGAAUGAUUGAUUAAUGCACUUGGGAAUGUCUCUGGUGCAUGUGAAAUCCAAAUCCUGGACUGUUUCUAUGAUACAGUAACUUACACAAGACAUUCUCUAUUUAUCAAUUAUUAAUUGUUUGUCUAUUUUUUGUAU